UGGGGAAUAUUGCGCAAUGGGGGGAACCCUGACGCAGCCAUGCCGCGUGAAUGAAGAAGGCCUUCGGGUUGUAAAGUUCUUUCGGUGUUGAGGAAGGUUGAUGUGUUAAUAGCACAUCAAAUUGACGUUAAAUACAGAAGAAGCACCGGCUAACUCCGUGCCAGCAGCCGCGGUAAUACGGAGGGUGCGAGCGUUAAUCGGAAUAACUGGGCGUAAAGGGCACGCAGGCGGUUAUUUAAGUGAGGUGUGAAAGCCCUGGGCUUAACCUAGGAAUUGCAUUUCAGACUGGGUAACUAGAGUACUUUAGGGAGGGGUAGAAUUCCACGUGUAGCGGUGAAAUGCGUAGAGAUGUGGAGGAAUACCGAAGGCGAAGGCAGCCCCUUGGGAAUGUACUGACGCUCAUGUGCGAAAGCGUGGGGAGCAAACAGGAUUAGAUACCCUGGUAGUCCACGCUGUAAACGCUGUCGAUUUGGGGAUUGGGCUUAGAGCUUGGUGCCCGUAGCUAACGUGAUAAAUCGACCGCCUGGGGAGUACGGCCGCAAGGUUA
rnacentral:rRNA from 1 species